AGAGUUUGAUCCUGGCUCAGAGUCAACGUUGGCGGCGUGCGUAACACAUGCAAGUCGAACGAGAACCAGGAAGCUUGCUUCCUGGGGACAGUGGCGAACGGGUGAGUAACACGUGAGUAAUCUGCCCUUGAGUGGGGAAUAACUUCGCGAAAGCGGAGAUAAUACCGCACAAUACUCUGAAGUAUAAGCUUUCAGAGUCAAAGCCUUCGGGCGCUUGAGGAUGAGCUCGCGGCCUAUUAGCUUGUUGGUAGGGUAACGGCCUACCAAGGCUUCUAUGGGUAGCCGGCCUGAGAGGGUGUACGGCCACACUGGAACUGCGACACGGUCCAGACUCCUACGGGAGGCAGCAGUGGGGAAUUUUGCGCAAUGGGCGAAAGCCUGACGCAGCGACGCCGCGUGGAGGAUUAAGGCCUUCGGGUUGUAAACUCCUGUCAGAGGUGAAGAAAGUCUCCUUCGGGAGGCCUGACGGUAACCUCAGAGAAGCCCCGCUAACU
rnacentral:rRNA from 1 species